AGGUGGUGGAAGGGGAACAGGUGGACCCAGUGGGCCAGUAGCCCCUUACUGGGGGCCAGGACAUUAGGGGAGCCUAGAGAAUCCUAGAGAGGGAGUCCAGUCUCCAGAAAUAUCUAGGGAAGCUGGUGAGGAACCAAUGCUGCAGGUUAAAUUACAAGAUGAGGUAGUCAAUAUGAUGGUAGACACUGGAGCAACCUAUACAUGUGGCAGCCAAUAGACGAAAUUGCCCGGAAAACAUGCUAAGAUGGUAGGAUUCUCAGGACAAGUGCAGCUAAUACUAUUUAUGACUCUGGUGACCAUCGCUGUAGAUAAUUCCACUGUAUAUAUAUGCCUAUUUUGGUGUCUGAGCACACAUACCGUAAUUUCCGGACUAUGAGCCGCUACUUUUUUCCCACGCUUUGAACCUCGCAGCUUAAACAAUGACGCGGCUAAUUUAUGGAUUAUGAUACCUGUGACUGUAUACGGUGGCUUUGUGUUUAUGGUGGCUUGGUGGAGCCAGGAUGCUAGCAUGGAUGCAGCCGCAUGGAUGCUUAACUCCACGCGAUUUCUCAGUAUCUCUCAAUAACUUAACUAAUGUCAAAAUAACCACAGUCUACCGUCGUAGACAGAACACAACUCAAAACACUUUAGAAAAUAAAAUAAAAGUUUACAACAAUACAAAUCCAGUCUUUUCAAGUUCUUUAGCUCACUGGUUUCAAACUAGCGUCUUUCUUCUAUCUCGCUGUCUUCAAUCUAACGUUCUACCUGAACAGGAAGAACUACCUUAUUUCUGAUUGACUCUUGCAACUGUCCUCUCCUAAAGCAACAGUGCACUUAUCGUAACUGGCAAAACUAAUAAUAUGCAUCACUAUUGUAUUACUUUUGAUAUUCAUUUUAUCCUGUGUAAAGUUCAUUUGUUUCAAUGUACCUGCGGCUUAUAGACAUGUGUGGCUUAUUUAUGUUCAAAAUAAAAAAAAUUUUAAAUUCAGUGGGUGCGGCUUAUAUUCAGGUGCGCUCAAUAGUCUGGAAAUUACGCUACUGUAUGUAAAGCUGUGCAAAUUUGCAAAUUCACUGUACUGGCCUCACUGAGCUCCUUGUCCAGUUAUCCAGUUAGUUAAACACCACCACACACAACAAGCUUUGUUACCGAGGGUGAAGUUUAUCACGUGUAAUGGUUGUGUAUAUAGCCAAGAAUCACCUUGCUGUCUGUGUAGAAGCUGAUAGUCAAAUGUAUGAUCGAUCUCUUCGCUUAUUACUUCUGCGAUUUCUGGUGUCUGAGCACACAUAUGUAAAUCUGUGCAAAUUUGUUAAGAAGAAAUGCGCUGUGAAACCUGAAUUUACAUAAUGAAUUACCUGAAUAAUCGCACAGCGAACAGAUUGUAUAUAGAUGCAUUGGGAAUCCAGAUGCCCAUAAUACCCAUAACCCAGCUACAACAAGCGUACUGGAUAGGGGAUUUAGGGAAGGACUGAGUAUAAGAUUCGGCAAUUCAACACAGAGCCUUAAUUGAGAAGCCCUCUCAGCCCACUCGCCCCCCAAGAUGUCUGCUGCAUUGUAGAAUAGGGGACAGAGAUGAUACAAAAAUACUUUGAUAUGCAGUGGAACAGUGCCAUGUGUGGCACUAUGGGUCACUGAAGGCUACAGAACUCAACACCUAGGCCCAAUGAUAAGAGAAGCGUUUGAACAGGGAUGGGUGACAACACAAAAUUAAAUGUAUUACCUGUAUUGUCUCUAUGGGAUAGUGGGUGGAGGAGGAUAUAGGUGCUGGGAGAGGAAGGACCACAAACCACUGAGUGAUCAGGAAAUCAGGGACAUACAGGCUGGAAAACAGAAAAUGAAGGGGGAGCAUAUGAUGAUCGAGUAUCUGUAUGAUCAGAUGCUAAGGGAAGUUCCAGAACAUGUAUGGUACAAAGGGGAUGGAGAGUGGCGGAUAUGGCGGAUGGAAAAAGUUGGAGAUAGACCUGACAGGAAUGGUAUAUAAGCGGGGAGGGGGCUUUUCAGGGUAGAGAUCAAAUCAAAUUCGAGACCAAAUCUGGAGAAUGCACAAUGCCACCCCAACUGCGGUAAGGGUACAGGGAACAAACACUUCAUCAUCUUAAUCACUGUCACAAAGCUUCUCCACUCAGACAGGAUGGGAGACCCCGGAGACUGGCAAAAGCCUGGAUAACCCAGAACGAGUGGAGGGGAAAAAGGGGCAGCCACGGCAGAGUGAAAGGAACAGGGGACUCGCCCCACAUGCAAGAAUUCUUUACCAGAAUUCUUCACUUUGUGAAGUGAUUAAUCUAAUCACCAAAAUAAGGCUGCUAAUGAAGUAUACAGAAGGAAUAAGGAUUAUGAGGUUUAUGUGUACACUUUUUUUGUGUGUCCUUUGAAUGUGUAAACUACUGAUUAAUGAAUUAAGGGCUAUAAGCUCUAUGGUCCAGAAGAUGAUCAUAUGUGAAUGACGAAGGAUGAGACCUGAGACCUGGGCUGGUUUAGGGAUCUGUGUAGGCAACACCUGGAAGGAUGUUUGGGAAAGCCACGGGUCUCUGAGCAGCUGACCUAAGAGCUGUUGUUAUCGGUGAGGCAUUCAGGUUCUGUGGUGAACCACUUGAAGAGGCUGGGAAGAACACCCUGCCCAUGAUAUUUUCUGUGUGGCAUCCUGGACUCAGACAUCAUGAAUCAACCCUCACCUCCAAGCAUCUUCUUGUUUUGCAUACUUAUUUAUGGGGCUGAAGCGAACAGAUGAAAUUCAGCACUGCUCUAUGGUAGUGUCAAUGAUUAUGUGGCUUUAUUUGUGCAAAUAAAGCUUGAUAUCAAACUAUAAAACUGUUUUGUUCCUUAUCGGUGUGUCUCCACAGCAUGGGCGGUUUGUCCAUAAGGGCGAUUUGGGCGGCGCACUGCCAAACGGGAAAAGUGGACAAAAAGGUAUUGCUGUAUGAGUUAAUCAGCUAACACCAAAUUGAUACAAUUGUCUUGCUAAAUGUACCUACUGAAUGGGUCGCCCUAAUCAUUAUCAAAAAAAUUGCCCCCCCUGAGAAUUGGUUCAGGAGCCGCCACUGCUCCACAGGCUCUUUGUCAGCUGACAGACCAUCCAUUUAUAUUGAUAUCUGUCAUUACAAUAUAUGGUGAGAGUUGCCACACUUUCCCAUGGACUGAACUUUCAGAAACAACGGGAUAGCUAUCUUCACAAGAAAACAUCUUUGGUGGAAAAUCAUCUGUGAAAAUACCUAAAAAACUUAAAAUCUCAAUCAAAACAAAUCAAAACGCACUCACACACACCACUUUCCACAUCACAUAUUUACAACUUGUUUUUUUAACACUACGAACCAAGCCUAUCUUAUCCUUAAAUCAGUAAUCUAUCCUCCAUGAGUCUAUGAGUCCAUCUGUAAAUGUCGUUUGAGUAAACAGCUCCCGUUCCAAAGAAGUUAUUUGAGCCAGGCAUAAUGCCAAUAGUCUUGGCCUCAGCUGGACAUUUGGUAUUCACAAUCGCCCACACCUAUUUGAUCACAGCAAGCAACCGUCACAGAUAACUAAUUUCAAAGGAA
ensembl:lncRNA